UGCCAUGAGGAGAUUGAACCUUUUUGAGUUU
rnacentral:piRNA from 1 species